UUUUUAUAUUUUAUUAUAUAUGUUAUGUUUAUUUUAUUUUGUUAUUUUUUUUAUUUUUGUAACAACAACUAUGUGAAUAAUUAAUUGUCCUGCCUUGUGCCUCUACUUCAAUCUGGCUAUUAUUAUAACACGUAUAUCGAUUUAUAUCUUGUAUUGAGUUAGCUUGUGAUUUGUACGUGUGUUUUUGUUUGCCUAGUGUUUGUUAGUUAUAUGCAAGAUAUGGCAUGGUAUGGCACACUGCAUGUGUAAAAGUGGAUGAAAACACUAAAGAAAACGAUAACGAUAAACUUUAAAGCAGAAUUUUGUCAUGCGAUUAUGGUGGCGAUAUGAGAGAACUACUGUGGCAGAAUAUUACUAUUGUAGAACAGUUUUGCAUCAAAUCAUUGUAUAAUAUUAGUUUUUUCUUGCUUAAAAAUAUUAUGAAAUUCAAA